UAUUAAUGAUUUGAUUUAUAGAUUUUUAAAGCAAUACAAGAUUGAAUUUAGCAGAAGGCUAAAUUUCUGCUCUGGAGACAAAAAAGGAAGACAGCGAAAAUGACCAGUCAAAAUAAAGAUAAAGAGACAAAAAACUGUGUAUAUUUUGGUGUAGAUGAUUUAUCUUCAUUUUGUUAUAAUAAAACAAAAAAUGUUAUUAAACUUUGGGAUUUACCUGUAACUCCAAACUCUUUACAGAAGUUCAAUGAUUGCUCUGAGAAGUUGAAUGAACAAAUUUAUUAAAUGAUAAAGUUGUAUCCUUGAAAGAUAUGCUGGUAUUAUUGGCACAAUGGGCAAGCAUUGAAGUGCAACUUGGUGAAAUACAAAACACAUCAAAUUCAGUUAUAAAAAUUUGAGUAACAAAGGUCAAUUAUUUGGCACAAUUUGGAGUUAAAGACAAAGGAGAUUGUAUAUGUUAUUUACUAAGAAUUGGUUUUUAAAAUGGCAUAGCUGUAAAAUUAAACUAUACAGUGAGAGGACAAAAAGUUGGAAUAGGAAAAAUGUUGAUUGCAUAUGUUGCUAUUGAAACUGUGAAGUCAAAUAAGCAUGGCUUAUGCAGACAUGUGAUAGAGAUAGAGGAAGA